UGGGGAAUAUUGCACAAUGGGCGCAAGCCUGAUGCAGCCAUGCCGCGUGUAUGAAGAAGGCCUUCGGGUUGUAAAGUACUUUCAGCGAGGAGGAAGGCGUUGUGGUUAAUAACCGCAACGAUUGACGUUACUCGCAGAAGAAGCACCGGCUAACUCCGUGCCAGCAGCCGCGGUAAUACGGAGGGGGCAAGCGUUAAUCGGAAUUACUGGGCGUAAAGCGCACGCACGCGGUCUGUCAAGUCGGAUGUGAAAUCCCCGGGCUCAACCUGGGAACUGCAUCCGAAACUGGCAGGCUAGAGUCUUGUAGAGGGGGGUAGAAUGCCAGGUGUAGCGGUGAAAUGCGUAGAGAUCUGGAGGAAUACCGGUGGCGAAGGCGGCCCCCUGGACAAAGACUGACGCUCAGGUGCGAAAGCGUGGGGAGCAAACA
rnacentral:rRNA from 1 species